AAGUCGUAACAAGGUAUCCGUAGGUGAACCUGCGGAUGGAUCAUUAUCACGUUAUCCACGUAUCAACCAUUGUGAACUGUUGAUGUAUAUAUUGUUGUUUGUUGGGGGGUUUCCCCUAACUUUCAUUAAUAUAUAUAUUUUUAUUAUUAACUAUUAAUGCUAGUCAAUAUUCGUCUAAUCAAGUUAUAUUUUUAAUUUAAAAACAACUUUUGACAACGGAUCUCUUGGCUCUC
rnacentral:misc_RNA from 1 species